UAAUUACACAACGUCUAAACGGUGGUUACGUAUUAUAUUCAAACAAUCGUAUCGGUGCUUUACGAAGACUUUUUGGUUUGUUUAGAGAGGGUAUUGCAAAGGGUUUAGAAGAUACAGUGUUAAGACGCCAUAUAACACAUACCUAUCUCCCCGACGCUAUCUAUAUUACUACACGGUUAUAUGAUGUUAUGAAGGGAUUAGCGGAGUGUAAAAAGGUGGCAAUUUAUGAAGAUACGACAGAACCCUAUGCGGAUACACACGACCAAUAGAUGGAUGUGGUGAACAAGCUAUAUCUGGG
rnacentral:lncRNA from 1 species